rnacentral:rRNA from 1 species
AGCCGCGGUAACACGUAGGCUCCAAGCGUUGUCCGGAUUUAUUGGGCGUAAAGAGCUCGUAGGCGGUUUAGUAAGUCGGGUGUUAAAACUCUGGGCUCAACCCGGAGAGGCCAUCCGAUACUGCUGUGACUUGAGUUCAGGAGGGGAGCGGGGAAUUCCUAGUGUAGCGGUGAAAUGCGCAGAUAUUAGGAGGAACACCGGUGGCGAAGGCGCCGCUCUGGACUGAAACUGACGCUGAGGAGCGAAAGCAUGGGUAGCAAACAGGAUUAGAUACCCUGGUAGUCCAUGCCGUAAACGGUGGGCACUAGGUGUGGGUUCCAACUAACGGGAUCCGCGCCGUCGCUAACGCAUUAAGUGCCCCGCCUGGGGAGUACGGUCGCAAGACUAAAACUCAAAGAAAUUGACGGGGGCCCGCACAAGCGGCGGAGCAUGCGGAUUAAUUCGAUGCAACGCGAAGAACCUUACCAAGGCUUGACAUAUACUGGACCGCAUCAGAGAUGGUGUUUCCCUUCGGGGCUGGUAUACAGGUGGUGCAUGGUUGUCGUCAGCUCGUGUCGUGAGAUGUUGGGUUAAGUCCCGCAACGAGCGCAACCCUCGCUCUGUGUUGCCAGCAUUUAGUUGGGGACUCACAGGAGACUGCCGGGGUUAACUCGGAGGAAGGUGGGGAUGACGUCAAAUCAUCAUGCCCCUUAUGUCUUGGGCUGCACGCAUGCUAC